AUGGGCCAGGGCCGUGCCCCCCUCCUGGCCCUGAGGACGCCUGGGAUGAGCCACCCUGGGAGCACCAGCGCUGGCGGUGCCCGCCUCAUCGCAGGGCCCCGGGACCCAUCCCUGGCCCUGGUGACAGCCCUUGGAACGAGGAGGAGGACACGGGGUGGGCACCCCACGACUGUCCCCCGCCACCCCCUUGGGAUGACAGAGACUUCCAAGGACCUGAGGACGGCUUUGGAGAGGGCUGGCACCCGGAUCCGAGGAGCUUUCCGGGGACACCGCCCGCCCUGGAGCUGCCCCCGCCGGGGUGGGAGACGCGGCCGCCGCCCCCGCAGGAGCCACCACCGGCAGCUGACCCUGGUUCCCCGGGUGUGGUGUCCCCGGCCCCCCCGAGAGUACAAGCCGCACUCCAAGGCCUCUCCUGCCCUCUCCAAGAGGAGCAAGCCGGCGGCCGGGAAGGAGCUGCAGCCCCCAGAUCCUCCCCAGCCCCUUUUACCCCUCCGAGGUGCUGCGGAGAGGCCGGAACAGACACAGGAUGUGCCCGUGGAAGGUCUGCCUCCUGGGAAUGUCCUGGAGCCCCCCAGUCCGGCUGGGAGCCCUCCAGAGAGCCCAGCUGCCGAUGCCGGUGCUGUGACCCCGGUUGAGCUGGAAGCCGGGCAGACCCCUGUGGGCAGCCAGCAUCAGGAUCCCUGUGCUUUGGGAGCAGAUCCAGCCCCUCCGGGGGAGAGCUCUGCCGGGAUCCAGGAGCACCUUGAGGUAGAGCCGUGCACUCCAGCUGUCCCCAAGGCUGGCGCUGGGGAUGGGUCACAUCCCCAGAGCCCAGCAGCCCCUCCGGACCCUGCCAAGAGAGAACUCCUGGAAUCCAGCUCCUCUGGAGAGGCAGAGGCUGAGCUCAGCCCACAUUGCUGGGAACAGCAGCCGGCCGGAGCUGGGGAAGCCGAGGCAGCAGCUGCCCAGGGUGGGCCUCUGCAGAGCCUUCAGCCACCUGAAAACCCUCAGGUCCCUCCAGGAGCUGCAGCAGAACCCGAGGCACAGCCCAGCCGGGCUUCUCCUGCUGCCUGCACCACACCAGAGACCUCCCCAGGGCCCCAGGACCCGCCUGGGUGCGGCGAGGCAAAGCCGGCUGUGUCUGGCCGGCACCAGCUGUGCUCCACGCUCCCCACACCAUUCCCAGCCGGCAUCGAUUUCCGCUCCACCGCCGUCCUCGCCAGGAAGGCAGAGAUCGAGCUGUCGUACCAGCAGUUCAGCCUGACCAUCGCCGUGGUGGCCACGAUGCUGCUGCAGAAGGAGCCCUCGAUGGAGGCGGCGCUGGGGCUGGCGCUCAGGGCCAACCUCCGCCAGCGCCGCAUCCACCACCUGCAGGAGCUGGAGGAUUUCAUCGACAGCUACGACUCAGCCACCGCCAGCCUCUGAUGGCAGCCACCCCCUCCUGCCAGCUGGGUGGGGGGCGAUGGGGGCUGUGACAGCGCUUUGGGGUGCUCGGGAGGGUGCUGAGCCUGCGGGACAAGGUGGGAUGGGCACAUUGGCAGCCCCACCCUCCUGGAGAAGGAGGGCGAGCAGGAUCUGUUUGGCAGCUGAAGUUCUACUGGUUUUACUGGAGGGUGAUGGCAGGGAGGGCAGCAGUCCCUCUCCUCCAUUCCUGAUUCUUGGGGAUGUGUCCCCAAACCCCAGCGAGUGUUUUUGGGUUUAAAUCUAGAAAUAAACCGUGUUCUUUUUGCAGCCCUUGCUCUGUUCCCGCUCUCCUGGGGCUGCUGAGGGGGGGUCCCGCGGUGACCCCCGGCUGUGGCAGAGGGCAGAGGUCACUCCCAGGGACACGGUCAGCAUCCCAAGGGGCUGGGAAGGAACAGGGCAGGCUCAGGAGACCCUUCUGCGUUCAGAUGUCAGCCAAACUUUAUUGGAGCUUCAUCAUCGUUAGAGCUGCGCCCCUGGUCCCCUCCGGGACACGGUGCCACCAGGGAUGGAGAGCAGGUGGCAGUGGGGCACGGAGCAGUCCAGGGAAGGAUCCCACGUGCUCCCCAGCCGUGGGGUGAUGCAGGCAGCUGCCCUUGUCUGGAGCUGCGGCCGCUCUCCCCGGAGCUGCCGCCUUGUCUGCGGUGCUGGAGGCCCUGCUCGGCUGCAGGCCCCGCUCCCUUCCUGCUUUACCUGUUCCUAAUUGCGGGAGAGGCCGGCAGGAAUUGCAGGCUCUGCUCUGCCAGCAGCCGCCGGGGGGGAAGGAUCCCAGCAGCUUCUCCCACCAGCCUUGGGCCGCGUCCAGGACGCGCUUGGAACGCGUUGAGGCCGUGGCAGGACCUGGCAGGACCUGGCAGGACGGCAGUGCCACUCG
rnacentral:lncRNA from 13 species